GAAAAUGUCCUACAAUGUGCAUUUUAUUCCAUAUCAUUAUACAAUGUUUACAUAUAGUUAAAACUCUCAAGAAAACGUCCUUUACCAGUUGUAUGUGGUGUCUAAAUCUUUAACAUGAAGGACUGAAAAGAGUGGAAAUCCACACUGAUUGUUAUCCUACAGAUUGUCAUGAGCUGCACGUGUGCCAAUCAGAAAGGAAUGGAAGUCUCGGAAGAGCAGCGUGGCUUACAGACCCUUGGCUUUAGUGAAUUCAGGCAUGCGGGAUCCAUAGUCUCAUCUUGUAGUAAAACUCAAGACAAAAUAAAUUAGUGUUGGACAGAGUUCUACAUUGUACAAUGUUGAACAAAAGACCACAGGGGGACCUUUUGUUCAAAGUAGCACCAAUCCACACCUGAUUGUGUUUCCAACAUUAACCUUCCUGUUGACUCUAUCAUUGGCACUUUGAAUGGAACUUCUUCUGCUUUAGUGAGGAUUCCUACGCUGACUAAGCACACUGUGUUGCUAAACUCUCUACAAAGUGUGGCAGCAUCAACCCGGGAAAUGGCACAUUUGAACCAGGAUCGCCCUGACAUGGGCUUGCCUUUUUGUAUGUGUUUUCCCCACCCCCUGACCUAGCUGGUAUCUUGUGGAUGUUUCUGUGACAGUGGUAAAAGUAAAUAAAUUGCAUUUAAGGGGUAAGCAGGUGUUUAAAAACAAAACAAAACAAAACGAAAGAAUGUGGUCGCAGCUAAGGAGGUUUUCACAUGUUGUUUAACUCCAGUAAAGUCUGAUCCAGCAUCUGAUGCAUACUAAGGUUUUCUUCUUUGUCAUCAAUGCUUUUCUCCAAUUUAGUUACUGACCUCUCCGCAAACUCAGCCCGAGUCUCAGCCUGUAAUGAUUUAUUUGAGUUAAAGUUGGGAAGUUUUAUGUUUCCUGUAGCUACAAACAUAGGGAAAACUAGAGGAUGAAAAUGAAGCACAUCACCUAUAAAAUGGAUCAGAAACUACUUGUCAGUUUCAGUCACCUCUGUGAGAAAUGGCAGUUAGCACAGUACAUAAACUCCAAGGCGACCUUUGAAUAUUCCUGACUUGGAUCAUUGGAACUUUAAAAUGAAAAGGCCCUGACCGGUUCCAUGAAAACAAACUCAUUUAAAAUCCAGUUGGCUUCAUCCACAACUCUCAUAUUACCUCCUUCAGCUUGUCGGAAAGGACCUUGAUCUCUUCCUCAUAUCUGUCUUCCUUCUGCGAGUACUCUCAGCCCGCUCCUCUGCACGUUCCAGGUCGCUCUCAAUGAUGACCAGCUUACGGGCCACCUGCAGCAGGAAGACACAACACACACACCAUGGGUCUUGCAAGCUUUGUGUAACAGAAGGGCAUGGGGGUAGAGAUCAGAUCCCAUCAGGCCCUAAGGGUUUUGUCUACAAACAAUAUGAUCCUCUUUCUGGUAGACCAGAGAGAAGCAACUCUCUAUUAGGAGUGCCAGCAGAGAGGAGAUCAGAGGCUUCUGCUUUGACUCAGAAUGGUUAGCUGUGAUUGGGCAGUCUCAAUUGGAAGUCUGACCUAGGUGAACCGGCAGCCAGACCAAAAUGUGGAAGGAGGGAUAAAAUACACAUUCACAAUCUCAAAAACAGCAGUAGGAUGAGACAUGUACUAAAAAGGUGGGGGCUGCCAGGAAAACAAAGUAAACCUAAGAACUCCAUCAAUUUGAUGGCUGAUCUGUGCAUCUACCUCCUUACUGCAGUGGAAGAAUACAAGAGACACUAACGUGAGACAAGUUGGUGAGAUAACUGACAAAAUCAAAUUUGUAUUUAGUGGAAGAACCAGAGAGAGGAAGGGAGCCUCUGAAGCAGAUCAAAACUUGUGAGCAUAGUGUAAUCUGAAGGUAAUAAUGGUAAUAAAAAGGAGGGGCAAUGCUGUUUCAGGAUAGCCACGAUGUGAUCCAAUAAGGAAAAAACAGAAACCUUAAUAAUCAAGUUGCCUCUUAUCACAGGAGGCUGUUUUCAUGGGGACACGACCAGGAGCAAAUUCUGCUGAAAACCUGCGUUGAUAAUAGUUUUCUACCACCCUUGAGGAGAGAGGCCUCUGUGAAUCCACUGAGAAACUGUCUGUGGUCUCUAAGCUGCCCAAUCUGGAUGUGCCAGGUCACUCUGGGAAGAAAUGACUUGCACCAUGACAGCAUGAGAGCCUCCUUUCACAAGACACAGGGCCCAACUCUCCCUUCCGGCCAAAGAUCUUUUGUCCGGGUCUUUGUGGCUGGGGGAGAGGAGUUUUGGUCCUUCUUCGCAGUGCUACUGAUUGGCUUCCUGAUAAAGCCUGGGAUCCCCUAGCAGGAUUAAAAUUAGAACCGUUUUCUGGACACAAAGGAACUCUGCUUCUCAAAACCACCCAUUUCUGCCAACAAAGCAGAUGGCCUCACUCGGGAAUCAAGACUGUACAUUGCUCCCUGGCUUCCUGAAGGCCACUGCUGGGUGUCCACAAGGCUUUGGGCCCCAGGAUCUGACCUCUUCAUAUUUGCGGUCGGCAUCUUCAGCAAUGUGCUUGGCCUCUUUCAGUUGGAUCUCCUGAAUUUCCAUUUUUUCUUCAUCUUUUUGGGCUCGACUCUCAAUGACUUUCAU
rnacentral:lncRNA from 1 species